CCAAAGCUGCUGAUGCCCUCGGUAUGCAGCAAAUACUGCACACAUGAUAUUAAUGAUACAGUGAUUUUAGUUUUCAACUUGUACCUGAGGAAAAUAGUUCUGAUCUUUUUUUUUUUUUAAGAUUUUACUUAUUUACUUGAGAGAGAGAGUGAGAGAGACAGAGCUGGAGGACAGACAGAUGGAGAUGGAAAGACAGACUCCGUCCCAGGACCUGGGAUCAUGACCGGAGCCAAAGGCAGAGACUUAACCGAUUGAGCCACCCAGGUGCCCCAGAAAUAGUUCCGAUCUUCUUUGCUCAUCUGCUUUAUUUAUGAAUCCUGUAUCUAACAGGAUUAUUUACAUCCUGGGUCACCUAGCCCAAAUCAUUACCGAGGAUCUAGAACCUCAACCAGUCUUAUAUUACUGAAAUGACUGUAAAUAGCUCAACCAAUGUGUAAUUAUCCAUCCUGAGACGAUUUGGAGACCGUGUGUUGUUAAGUUCACGAAGUCAUUAUAAUAUCUUUUUAACAGGAAGAAACUAUAUAUUGGAGCUGAACCAACAUGUGUUUCUCUCUGCGGAUAAGCAAAAUUUCAUAAGAACUAAAAUGAUUCAAGCAGAUGUUCAUCGUGGAACUGCCGGCAAAAGCACCGAGAGUCACAAAGAUAAAUUCCAAUCCAGUGUUUGGAAAUCUCCUCACCAUACUCACGCAUGUUUUGAAGUGUAUCUUCCCUAACAUAUAAAUUUUAGGCUCUGCAUAACCUGGAUCCACUCCAAAGCCACUCCUCGGGCUUCGGCAGAGAACUUUGCACAUGGAAGACCCUGUAACUAAAGUUCCUUUAGCUAAAAGAUUCUUGGAUCAGAAACAAAAUGAAGAUUUUCCUAAAUUAUUAGCAAAUGAAGUAAUUUCCAACAAAACUGCUUUUGAGACAUUGCCUCAGAACACAAGCUGUGGUUAGCACUGCCCUCACCCAGGGCUUACGUUCCUGCUUCCAUUGACUGGUCUCCGUCCUGAAGCCGUCCACGUCCUGCAUGUCCAGGACAGUCCUUCCAGGAGACAAAACCCAUGGCCUGUCUUGGCCAUUUGUUGAAUGAAUGUACAGACAUGAUAUGUUUUUUAUUAACUCUGUGUAGUAGUAUUUAUAGUAUGUUCUUAUUGAACCACUGAAAACAUGCUUGU